GACGAACGCUGGCGGCGUGCCUAAUACAUGCAAGUUGAGCGCUGAAGGUUGGUACUUGUACCAACUGGAUGAGCAGCGAACGGGUGAGUAACGCGCGGGGAAUCUGCCUUUGAGCGGGGGACAACAUUUGGAAACGAAUGCUAAUACCGCAUAAAAACUUUAAACACAAGUUUUAAGUUUGAAAGAUGCAAUUGCAUCACUCAAAGAUGAUCCCGCGUUGUAUUAGCUAGUUGGUGAGGUAAAGGCUCACCAAGGCGAUGAUACAUAGCCGACCUGAGAGGGUGGUCGGCCACAUUGGGACUGAGACACGGCCCAAACUCCUACGGGAGGCAGCAGUAGGGAAUCUUCGGCAAUGGACGAAAGUCUGACCGAGCAACGCCGCGUGAGUGAAGAAGGUUUUCGGAUCGUAAAACUCUGUUGGUAGAGAAGAACGUUGGUGAGAGUGGAAAGCUCAUCAAGUGACGGUAACUACCCAGAAAGGGACGGCUAACUACGUG
rnacentral:rRNA from 1 species